CUACGGGCCGCUCCAGUGGGGAAUAUUGCACAAUGGGCGCAAGCCUGAUGCAGCCAUGCCGCGUGUAUGAAGAAAGCCUUCGGGUUGUAAAGUACUUUCAGCGGGGAGGAAGGGAGUAAAGUUAAUACCUUUGCUCAUUGACGUUACCCGCAGAAGAAGCACCGGCUAACUCCGUGCCAGCAGCCGCGGUAAUACGGAGGGUGCAAGCGUUAAUCGGAAUUACUGGGCGUAAAGCGCACGCAGGCGGUUUGUUAAGUCAGAUGUGAAAUCCCCGGGCUCAACCUGGGAACUGCAUCUGAUACUGGCAAGCUUGAGUCUCGUAGAGGGGGGUAGAAUUCCAGGUGUAGCGGUGAAAUGCGUAGAGAUCUGGAGGAAUACCGGUGGCGAAGGCGGCCCCCUGGACGAAGACUGACGCUCAGGUGCGAAAGCGUGGGGAGCAAACAGGAUUAGAUACCCUUGUAGUC
rnacentral:rRNA from 1 species